GGGCUUAACACAUGCAAGUCGAGGGGCAGCAUGGUCUUAGCUUGCUAAGGCCGAUGGCGACCGGCGCACGGGUGAGUAACGCGUAUCCAACCUGCCUUACACUCUUGGACAGCCUUCUGAAAGGGAGAUUAAUACAAGAUGUUAUCAUGAGUAAGCAUUUUCGCAUGAUUAAAGGUUUACCGGUGUAAGAUGGGGAUGCGUUCCAUUAGAUAGUAGGCGGGGUAACGGCCCACCUAGUCUUCGAUGGAUAGGGGUUCUGAGAGGAAGGUCCCCCACAUUGGAACUGAGACACGGUCCAAACUCCUACGGGAGGCAGCAGUGAGGAAUAUUGGUCAAUGGACGAGAGUCUGAACCAGCCAAGUAGCGUGAAGGAUGAAGGUUCUAUGGAUUGUAAACUUCUUUUAUACGGGAAUAAACGAAUCCACGCGUGGAUUUUUGCAUGUACCGUAUGAAUAAGGAUCGGCUAACUCCGUGCCAGCAGCCGCGGUAAUACGGAGGAUCCGAGCGUUAUCCGGAUUUAUUGGGUUUAAAGGGAGCGUAGAUGGGUUGUUAAGUCAGUUGUGAAAGUUUGCGGCUCAACCGUAAAAUUGCAAUUGAUACUGGCAGUCUUGAGUACAGUUGAGGUAGGCGGAAUUCGUUGUGUAGCGGUGAAAUGCUUAGAUAUCACGAAGAACUCCGAUUGCGAAGGCAGCUUACUAACCUGUAACUGACAUUGAUGCUCGAAAGUGUGGGUAUCAAACAGGAUUAGAUACCCUGGUAGUCCACACGGUAAACGAUGAAUACUCGCUGUAGGCGAUAUACAGUCUGCGGCCAAGCGAAAGCAUUAAGUAUUCCACCUGGGGAGUACGCCGGCAACGGUGAAACUCAAAGGAAUUGACGGGGGCCCGCACAAGCGGAGGAACAUGUGGUUUAAUUCGAUGAUACGCGAGGAACCUUACCCGGGCUUAAAUUGCAACCGAAUAUGGCGGAAACGCUAUAGCUAGCAAUAGCGGUUGUGAAGGUGCUGCAUGGUUGUCGUCAGCUCGUGCCGUGAGGUGUCGGCUUAAGUGCCAUAACGAGCGCAACCCUUGCCGAUAGUUACUAACAGGUUAUGCUGAGGACUCUGUCGGGACUGCCAUCGUAAGAUGUGAGGAAGGUGGGGAUGACGUCAAAUCAGCACGGCCCUUACGUCCGGGGCUACACACGUGUUACAAUGGGGGGUACAGAGGGCUGCUACCACGCAAGUGGAUGCCAAUCCCAAAAACCUCUCUCAGUUCGGAUUGAAGUCUGCAACCCGACUUCAUGAAGCUGGAUUCGCUAGUAAUCGCGCAUCAGCCACGGCGCGGUGAAUACGUUCCCGGGCCUUGUACACACCGCCCGUCAAGCCAUGGGAGCCGGGGGUACCUGAAGUGCGUAACCGCAAGGAGCGCCCUAGGGUAAAACUGGUGACUGGGGCUA
rnacentral:rRNA from 1 species